GGUAGUUUUGUCCCCUCCGGCCCCGCGGCUGCGCGGGUACAGCUGCGGCGUCUCUGCAGAGGGAGCUCCGUCUCCUGGGGCCCCUCUGGGACCUCGGCUCAGGAUGGUGUGGAGCUGCGUCUGUGCUGUCGCGAGCCGGGUUCCCUGCCGACUGGGCGACGCGGGAGGAAAAGGGUUCCCCAAAGCCUCUGCCUGCCUUCUGCAGCUGAGCUGCUUCAGCCUCUGUGGGACACCCAUUUGAAGGAACCUGUCCAAAUCCAUGUAAGAGAUCUCCUAUUUUUUCCCUCCCACCUGAGGCUCUUCCUCCUCACCAGACACCUGUUCCAAGGAAGCUCCUGCAACUAGGUAAGAUGAAU
rnacentral:lncRNA from 1 species